CAUUUAUUCUACUUUUGCGUUUUGCUAUAAAAACAAGCGCGUUUUUGUUUUUCUUGUUCAUUUUCAGUGCAAAAUUGUGGCGCGUUGAGAUGAAGGAACUACAGUAUUUACGUGGUUUUGGUAGCGAAUUCUCGUCGGAAGAUCCGAGGUGUCCCAACGCUUUACCGUUGGGUCAAAAUAGUCCCCAAAAAUGUCCUUAUGGAUUGUACGCGGAACAAUUAUCCGGAACAUCCUUUACAGCACCCAGAAGCGAAAAUCGACGCACUUGGUUGUACCGUAUCAGGCCAAGCGUCGGGCAUCAACCUUUUAAAAAAUGUGCAAAUACAGGAAUGACGCACAAUUGGGGGGAACAAGAACCAGAUCCGAACCAGAUGAGGUGGAAGCCUUUCGACCUGGCAGCUUCUGAUGAAGACUUUGUGGACGGGCUUAAAACGGUUUGCGGGGCUGGAGAUCCCAAAAUCAAGCUCGGACUGGCAAUCCACGUCUAUUCAUGCAACAGCCCAAUGAAGAAUCGUGCUUUUUACAACGCCGAUGGAGACUUUUUGAUCGUUCCCCAGAUGGGCACGCUGAUCAUCCGGACUGAAUUUGGAAAAAUGACUGUAUCGCCAAACGAAAUAUGCGUGAUUCAACAAGGCAUGCGGUUUUCGGUCGCAGUAUCUGAACAGUCCAGAGGAUAUAUUUUGGAAGUUUUCGGUAGGCACUUUCACUUGCCAGAUUUGGGGCCAAUUGGCGCUAAUGGACUGGCGAAUGCAAGAGAUUUUUUAACACCGACCGCUUGGUAUGAAAAUUGCGAAAAUAUCGGGUUUGAAAUAAUCGGGAAGUUCCAAGGACAUUUAUUUUCCGCUGAACAGAACCACAGUCCUUUCGAUGUGGUUGCUUGGCAUGGGAACUACGUUCCGUACAAGUACGACUUAAGCAAGUUUAUGGUGAUUAAUUCAGUGUCCUUUGAUCACUGUGAUCCUUCAAUAUUCACAAUAUUAACAUGCCCCUCAGACAAACUUGGCACAGCUAUUGCGGAUUUUGUUAUUUUUCCACCCAGAUGGUCCGUUCAAGAGCACACUUUUAGGCCGCCGUAUUACCACCGAAACUGCAUGUCCGAAUUUAUGGGGCUGAUUCUAGGGGAAUAUGAAAAACUUUCUGUAUAUUGUCCGGAAUCCUUUAGGCCAAAAAGGGGGCAUUUCAACCGGGAGGUGCCACUUUACACAGCAUAAUGACACCCCAUGGGCCUGAUAAAAGCUGCUUUGAGUAUGGUUCUAAUGAACCCCUGGUACCCAAAAAAGUAGCAGAAGGCACUCAGGCAUUUAUGUUUGAAAGCUGCUUAAGCCUGGCUAUUACGGAAUGGGGAGCCAAAACGUGCGAAAAAUUGGAUCCCGAAUAUUUCAAAUGCUGGCAAGGAUUGAACAGUAACUUCACCGGACCGACUUAAUACUGUAAAUAGUCAUAAAAUAGUUCUAGUUCUGCAUCGCCUAGAGCAUUAAACGCAGCAAGCAUCAGACAUUAACUUUCUUGGGCUUCAUAGACGACUCCUCACAAAAUGUGAAUGUGUCUCUACAGAACACCAGUUUUUUUUUUUGGGAAAUAAUAAAAUACCAUCAGACAAAUA